rnacentral:misc_RNA from 1 species
UAAGAGCGUGCAUUCUAGUUAGGCGUCCACACUUAUCGGUUUGUUUGAUGUUACAGCCAAGGGUCUGUAGCUCAGGUGGUUAGAGCACCGUCUUGAUAAGGCGGGGGUCGUAGGUUCAAGUCCUACCAGACCCACCAAGUUAUGGACGGUGGAAGUCUCUGCCGUGACUGGGGGAUUAGCUCAGCUGGGAGAGCACCUGCUUUGCAAGCAGGGGGUCGUCGGUUCGAUCCCGUCAUCCUCCACCAAUACCUUGUGGUUGCCAAACGCAAGCAUCGAGUUUUCGGUGUUUGCGUUUGGCAUUGCCAAGACGAGUAAUAACUCGGCUGUUCUUUAACAAUAUGGAAUGUAGUAAAGGUGUCGCGGAGCAUUGAUGAGAUGCUCGCAAAAACGCGACAUUGGGUUGUGAUUGUAUCAACCAGUAUUACGAGUGAUCGAAAGACCGCUUGGAAUACGGCACAACGCGAGAACUCAGCCUAUAUCGAGACAUACUCGUUAUAG